UUGGAUCUAAAAUUUUGGUCUCCAGCUCGGCCUGGAUCUCCAAUCUUUCCUUCACAACCUGGUGGCCCUCUGCCUCCUGCAAGUCCUUUAUCUCCUGCAAAAGGAAUUAAAUGGCAGUACAGAUGCUUUGUUUUACAAAAGGAUCAAAAAGAGUAUUUUACCUUUUGGACCUGGGUUCCCAGGAAACCCAAGCCCUGGAAAACCUGUGUCACCUGUUGGUCCUGAAUGUCCUGGAUCACCUGGCUG